UCCCAGCCUGGGAGUGCUUAGAGCCAA
rnacentral:piRNA from 1 species